rnacentral:rRNA from 1 species
UAGGGAAUCUUCCGCAAUGGGCGAAAGCCUGACGGAGCAACGCCGCGUGAGUGAUGAAGGUCUUCGGAUCGUAAAACUCUGUUAUUAGGGAAGAACAAAUGUGUAAGUAACUAUGCACGUCUUGACGGUACCUAAUCAGAAAGCCACGGCUAACUACGUGCCAGCAGCCGCGGUAAUACGUAGGUGGCAAGCGUUAUCCGGAAUUAUUGGGCGUAAAGCGCGCGUAGGCGGUUUUUUAAGUCUGAUGUGAAAGCCCACGGCUCAACCGUGGAGGGUCAUUGGAAACUGGAAAACUUGAGUGCAGAAGAGGAAAGUGGAAUUCCAUGUGUAGCGGUGAAAUGCGCAGAGAUAUGGAGGAUCACCAGUGGCGAAGGCGACUUUCUGGUCUGUAACUGACGCUGAUGUGCGAAAGCGUGGGGAUCAAACAGG